UACGUAGGUGACUAGCGUUGUCCGGAUUUACUGGGCGUAAAGAGCGCGCAGGCGGUCGGUCAAGUCGAGUGUGAAAGCCCCCGGCUCAACUGGGGAGGGUCAUUCGAUACUGAUCGACUUGAAGGCAGGAGAGGGAAGCGGAAUUCCCGGUGUAGUGGUGAAAUGCGUAGAUAUCGGGAGGAACACCAGUGGCGAAGGCGGCUUCCUGGCCUGUUCUUGACGCUGAGGCGCGAAAGCUAGGGGAGCAAACGGG
rnacentral:rRNA from 1 species